rnacentral:rRNA from 1 species
GACGUAGGAUGCAAGCGUUGUCCGGAUUUAUUGGGCGUAAAGAGUUCGUAGGUGGUUUAUUAAGUCUGGUGUUAAAGAUCGAGGCUCAACUUCGGGACUGCACUGGAUACUGAUAGACUGGAGUAUGGUAGAGGCAAGCGGAAUUCCCAGUGUAGCGGUGAAAUGCGUAGAUAUUGGGAAGAACACCGGUGGCGUAAGCGGCUUGCUGGACCAUAACUGACACUGAGGAACGAAAGCCAGGGGAGCAAAUGGG